AAUAGAAGGGGUUAAAAGCAGCUCUGGACAGGGCUGUGGCUGGGGAUGGCUGACUGGGGAAGCAGCCGCAGCUGGGCCAUGCCCCAAUCAGGCCCCAGCUGGCCUGUAUAAAAAGGCUGUGAGCCAGAGGCCCAAGGAGUCAUUCUCUGGGCUAGGAGAGAGCAGGGUUAGGCUGCCUACUUUCCAGGGUACUGAGAGUGGUGCAGUACUGGGGAAGGAGCAGGCUAAGUGGGGGUGCAGGCUGGCAACACCCUAGGCUGUAGAGCCUGGUCCAAGGUCCAUAGAGGAAGGCAGCAGGUCUGAACCCCCUUACUUAUGAUGAGUGGCCUUUACAGUGCAAUCUGUUCUAGGGAGUGGGGGCUUGGUGAUGACUGGCAGUAGCUCAGACUGAGGCAAGGUGAGAAUAGUGGGUUGUGGGUUCCCCAGGAAGAGAAGAGGCAGAGUGUGGGGGGUACUGCCUGGGGGCAGAACCCAAGAGAAAGGGACACUGGUGUCUGUGAGGGACACAGGGGGCCAGAGCUGUGUGGAUCACUGGCUUGCAAAGGGUGCUCCAGACUGGAAAAGAGCUAAUUUCAAAUGAUCAGCAGAAGGCACUGCAGGGUAAACAGUUGCAGUUGGGGGGAAGACAACGUUUGGAAAUUCCACAUGGAAAAUGAAAUUCUGAAUUCCAGGGACUUACAAUAUAACGAGAUAAGCUCUGCUUUAGGGUGCAACUGAAAAGAGAUGCGCAGACUGACUGGAAAGAAAAGUUUCCCCACUGAGAUCACUUCUUAGCAAUAUAUUAAACCUUAUGUGACACAGAAGGCAAUGUAUUCAUCCGAUUAUGUCAACCUGGCCUUUUCACAUCAAGAUAGAUUGAUCUUUAAAAUGUAUGCCCUUCAUUUUGGCUCUCAGAAACGUGGUUUGAACCAACACGGACAUAAGGUAAAUGUGAAUGAAAGGCAGCUGAACAACAUUGUUAUGAUGUAUUAUAUCACAUGUAAUGAAAAUAUGCAAAGGUUGUAAAAAAGAUACCUGGUUUUCCACUAGCUAGAAACAAGAUAAUAUGAACGUUUGUCAGAUAUUCCCUGUCAGAUGACCAUUCCUUUUAUAAAAGUAGCCAAAGAUAACAAUGACUUUUGUUAUCAUGAAAAGUUUUCAUUUUAAGAUCUUUUAAAAUUCCUUUUCUACCCAGAAUAGAGUUAGCCAGUACUCUAAACACAUUAACAUGAUUGUUCAUGUGUGCUUCCCAGUUACUGACAUUACACAUGAAGGGCUUUGUGAGUUGGAUAUCGAUGCUUUGAUGUACCAGAAAUUAUUCUGUAGUAACAUUUUAUUCAUUUUUAGUAUAAUACAACAAAGUCCAUGAGUGGGACCUCUACCUGUUAGCUCAGUAUUCAUAAAACUGCUGCUUAUUGUACUGAAUAGAACUGAAGACUGGGAGUCAAAACACCUGAGUUCUUAUUCAUGACUUAACUUGUAACUCACUGUCAACUUUAAGCAAGUCAUUUAACCGGUUUAUGCCUCAGCUUACCCACUUGUGUUAUACUUACAGGGAUAUUAUGGGACAAAGGAUGAAAAACUUCAGUAGCAAUGAAAUUUCAUCUAUACGAUAUUGGUAUAUAUUGAUAGUAUUGACUGACUUUCUGCAAAAGUCUUAAAGUUCUUUUCUCGUGUGUGUGUCAUUGUAUUCACUAUUUAGCUCAGAUCGUGAAUACUUGAAACAAUAAUCAGAACACAAUUUGUGAGCAAUCCAUAGGCAGAAUUUGAUCACAGAAUAUACUCAGGGGUGAAAGUAAGUCUAGGGACUUGCCAGCAUGGGGCUGGGCUGGGGCUGGCUCUGGCCCCUGGAAGGGGUGGGGCAUCAGGCAGAAGGGGCAGGUCUGGGGAAGGUCAGAGCCAGCUCUGGUACACCCUGUACCUGCAAGUGCCUCCUUCCCCCUCCCUGGGGUAACAGCAGCAGCCAGGGGCUCUGGCAGCAGUCUAAAGGGCCCUGGGUGGUUGAAAGGCCCUUUAAAUUGACUCCCAGAUCCCUGCCACCACUUCCGCAGGGCUCCAGGGACAGGGCUCCAGUUGCCACUACCACCCUGGGCCCUUUAAAUCAUCCCUGGAGCCCUGCUGCUGCUUCCCCAGGGCUCUGGCAGACUCUGGGGGAUGAUUUAAAGGGCCUAGGGCUUGGCUGCUUUUACCACCCCGGGCCCUUUAAAUCUCUACCUCACCGCAGCUACCCCAGGGCUCCGGCAGUGGGGCUCUGGCAGCAAUUUAAAGGGCCAGGGACUCCAGCUGCUGCUGGGAGCCACAGGCCCUUUAAAUGGCACCUGGGGAAGCCGAUCCACCCCAGUACAGUGCACUGGCUCUUGCCGGUACACCAUACUGGGGCAUACUGGCUUAUUCACCUCUGAAUAUUCCCUGCAUACCUGAAUGAACAAAUUCAUACAAAUCUACAUUAGUUUGCAAAUUAUCCAUGAAGAGACAUAGGGCUACAUUUGUUGAAUAAAUUGUUCACUGCUAAGAGUUUGCUCAGAUCUAUUCUUCAGUGCUAUGUUACCUUGGCAGGAUGCCAUUUAGUUUUUGUUUGGGAUUUAAUUCUCCCCACUUGACAGAGUGGUACUGUUUGGAUUUUUUUUUUUACAUAAAAUAUUUUGUGGUUUGUUUUGCUGAAGUGUAACUGUUCUAACUAUUCUGGGCUUUAUUAUAUCUGACACAAAAUUGUGUUGAUAUUGGAAAUAAGAUUUGUCUUUUUGACCAUAAGUCUGUAAACGGGUUAUCCAGAUACCACUGUGAAGAGUGUUGUGGUAUUCUAGCAAAGCUAAGUAAUAUCUAGAAUCUUCCAAAGCCUUUUUUAACUUCUUUGUUAUCUGAACUGCCUUUUCUUGCACUGUAAAAGCUUGUUGUGAUGAGCUUGAACUGUGUAGAGAAUUGUUCAAAUGAGCCACUCAUGAAUUGUCUUAACUCAGCUGGAAUGCUGUAGUGAGCAACGUAUGAUUAACAAUGUGUUACACUGCUCCUUGAUUUGUUCUUUAAGAGUUCAAUUUCAAAAUAAUUCGAGUAGUGGGUCACUACUAAGAUCAUCAUUCCCAUUUAAUCUGAAUAGAUCUUCUACCAAUCUUGGACCAAGGGCACAAAAUAAUAGCAUAUAGUUAAAGUGGCUGUUUUGUAUUAGUAUUAGUUCCAGAUUUUUACCCUGGAUACUGUAUUUUAAAUGGGACAUUCAUACAAGGAUAAAAAAAAUUCCUAUUUAAUAUUUAUAUCCAUGUAGCACCCACAGG